UACAGAGGGGGCAAGCGUUGUUCGGAAUUACUGGGCGUAAAGGGCGCGUAGGCGGCCUGUUAAGUCGAACGUGAAAUCCCCGGGCUCAACCCGGGAACUGCGUCCGAUACUGGCAGGCUUGAAUCCGGGAGAGGGAUGCGGAAUUCCUGGUGUAGCGGUGAAAUGCGCAGAUAUCAGGAGGAACACCAAUUGCGAAGGCAGCUCGCUGGGACGUUACUGACGCUGAGACGCGAAAGCGUGGGGAGCAAACAGG
rnacentral:rRNA from 1 species